CCGCCCGUCACAUCACGAAAGUGGGUUGUACUAGAAGUCUGCGCGCUAACCCGCAAGGGAAGCAGCGGCCCAAGGUAUGACUCAUGAUUGGGGUGAAGUCGUAACAAGGUACCC
rnacentral:rRNA from 1 species